rfam:Dictyostelium fasciculatum unplaced genomic scaffold Scf_Dfasci-G-o-80e12.f1-5, whole genome shotgun sequence.
GGCAUCUUGGGUGAGUGGUCUAAGCCGAUUGACUAGAAAUCAAUUCUCUUCGGAGGCGCAGGUUCGAACCCUGCAGAUGUCG